rnacentral:rRNA from 1 species
GACGAACGCUGGCGGCGUGCUUAACACAUGCAAGUCGAGCGGAGCGGCGCACGGGUGAGUAACGCGUGAGUAACUGCCCCCCUCUCUGGGAUCACAGUUGGAAACGGCUCCUAAUACCGGCUAGUGGGGGAUGACUCGCGUCCUAUCAGCUUGUUGGGGGGGUAGUGGCCUACCAAGGGGACGACGGGUAGCCGGCCUGGGAGGGCGACCGGCGCCAUGGGGCUGAGAUACGGCCCAAAAGCGGAAGGGAGGCAGGAGGGGAGAAUAUUGCACAAUGGGGGAAGCCUUGAGGCAGCAACGCGCGGGCGGGAAGACGGCCUUGGGGUUGAAAACCGCUUUCAGCGAUGACGCGGUAGUGGCAGAAGAAGCACCGGCUAACUACGUGCCAGCAGCCGCGGUAAUAC